rnacentral:rRNA from 1 species
AGCGAACGCUGGCGGCAGGCCUAACACAUGCAAGUCGAACGAACCUUUCGGGGUUAGUGGCGGACGGGUGAGUAACACGAGGGGAGGUGCAUUUAGGUUCGGAAUAACUCAGGGAAACUUGUGCUAAUACCGAACGUGCGCUUCGGGGGAAAGAUUUUUUGAGCCUAGAGCGGACCGCGUCAGAUUAGCUGGUUGGUUGAGGAAAUGGGUCACCACGGCGACGAACAGUAGCUGGUCUGGGAGGAUGACCAGCCACAUUGGGACUGAGACACGGCCCCAACUCUUACGGGAGGCAGCAGGUGUGAAUCUUGCACAAUGGGCGAAAGCCGGACGCUGCCAUGCCGCGUAAAUGAGUAAGUUCUUAGGAUCGUAAAAUUCUUUCGCCGGGUACGAUAAUGACGGUACCCGGAGAAGAAGCCCCGGCUAACUUCGUG